GUGGGAAUAAUGAAAAAGAUGAUGUUAAACCCAUGAAAUUUGAUUGAAUUGUGGGAAUGAUGAAAAUGUUGUUGUUAAACCCUUGAAAUUGAAUUGAAUUGUGUGCAUGAUGAAAAUGAUGUUGGUAAACCUAGGAAAUUAUAUUGGAUUGUGUGAAUGAGGAAUACGUUGUUGUUAAACCUAUGAAAUUUGAUUGAAUUAUGGAAAUGAUGAAAUGUUGAUGUUAUACCCAUGAAAUUUGAUUGAAUUGUGUGAAUAAUGAAAAUGUUGUUGUUAAACCCAUGAAAUUUGAUUGAAUUGCGGGAAUGAUGAAAAUGUUGAUGUUAAACCCAUGAAAUUUGAUUGAAUUGUGUGAAUAAAGAAAAUGUUAUUGUUAAACCCAUAAAAUUUGAUUGAAUUGUGGGAAUGAUGAAAAUGUGAGGUUAAACCCAUGAAAUUUGAUUGAAUUGUGGGAAUGAUGAAAAUGUUAUUGUUAAACCCAUAAAAUUUGAUUGAAUUGUGGGAAUGAUGAAAAUGUGAGGUUAAACCCAUGAAAUUUGAUUGAAUUGUGGGAAUGAUGAAAAUGUGAGGUUAAACCCAUGAAAUUUGAUUGAAUUGUGGGAAUGAUGAAAAUGUUGAUGUUAAACCCAUGAAAUUUGAUUGAAUUGUGUGAAUAAAGAAAAUGUUGUUGCUAAACCCAUGAAAUUUGAUUGAAUUGUGGGAAUGAUGAAAAUGUUGAUGUUAAACCCACGAAAUUUGAUUGAAUUGUGUGAAUGAUGAAAAUGUUGUUGUUAAACCUAUGAAAUUUGAUUGGAUUGUGUGAAUGAUGAAAACGUUUUUGUUAAACCUAUGAAAGUUGAUUGAAUUAUGGAAAUGAUGAAAAUGUGAUGUUUAACCCAUGAAAUUGGAUUGAAUUGUGGGAAUGAUGAAAAUGUUGAUGCUAAACCCAUGAAAUUCGAUUGAAUGGUAGGAAUGAUGAAAA
rnacentral:lncRNA from 1 species